rnacentral:rRNA from 1 species
CCUACGGGCGGCAGCAGUGGGGAAUAUUGGACAAUGGGGGGAACCCUGAUCCAGCCAUGCCGCGUGUGUGAAGAAGGCCCUCGGGUUGUAAAGCACUUUCAGUGAGGAAGAACGCCUGGUGGUUAAUACCCAUCAGGAAAGACAUCACUCACAGAAGAAGCACCGGCUAACUCCGUGCCAGCAGCCGCGGUAAUACGGAGGGUGUGAGCGUUAAUCGGAAUUACUGGGCGUAAAGCGCGCGUAGGUGGCUUGAUAAGCCGGUUGUGAAAGCCCCGGGCUCAACCUGGGAACGGCAUCCGGAACUGUCAAGCUUGAGUGCAGGAGAGGAAGGUAGAAUUCCCGGUGUAGCGGUGAAAUGCGUAGAGAUCGGGAGGAAUACCAGUGGCGAAGGCGGCCUUCUGGACUGACUCUGACACUGAGGUGCGAAAGCGUGGGUAGCAAACAGGAUUAGAUACCCUUGUAGUC